UGGGGAAUUGUUCGCAAUGGGCGCAAGCCUGACGACGCAACGCCGCGUGGGGGAUGAAGGUCUUCGGAUUGUACACCCCUGUCGAGCGGGACGAAUAGCCCGCGACCUAAUACGUCGCGGGAAUGACGGUACCGCUCAAUGAAGCCACGGCUAACUCUGUGCCAGCAGCCGCGGUAAUACAGAGGUGGCAAGCGUUGUUCGGAAUUACUGGGCGUAAAGGGCGCGUAGGCGGCCUUCUAAGUCAGACGUGAAAUCCCCCGGCUUAACCUGGGAACUGCGUCUGAUACUGGGAGGCUAGAGUGCGGGAGAGGGAUGCGGAAUUCCAGGUGUAGCGGUGAAAUGCGUAGAUAUCUGGAGGAACACCGGUGGCGAAGGCGGCAUCCUGGACCGACACUGACGCUGAGGCGCGAAAGCUAGGGUAGCAAA
rnacentral:rRNA from 1 species